rnacentral:rRNA from 1 species
CUACGGGAGGCAGCAGUGGGGAAUAUUGCACAAUGGGCGGAAGCCUGAUGCAGCGACGCCGCGUGAGGGAUGACGGCCUUCGGGUUGUAAACCUCUUUCAGCAGGGAAGAAGCGAAAGUGACGGUACCUGCAGAAGAAGCACCGGCUAACUACGUGCCAGCAGCCGCGGUAAUACGUAGGGUGCGAGCGUUGUCCGGAAUUAUUGGGCGUAAAGAGCUUGUAGGUGGUUUGUCGCGUCUGCUGUGAAAAUCCGGGGCUCAACCCCGGACUUGCAGUGGGUACGGGCAGACUAGAGUGUGGUAGGGGAGACUGGAAUUCCUGGUGUAGCGGUGGAAUGCGCAGAUAUCAGGAGGAACACCGAUGGCGAAGGCAGGUCUCUGGGCCAUUACUGACACUGAGAAGCGAAAGCAUGGGGAGCGAACAGGAUUAGAUACCCGUGUAGUCC